rnacentral:rRNA from 1 species
CCUACGGGAGGCAGCAGUGAGGAAUAUUGGUCAAUGGGCGAGAGCCUGAACCAGCCAAGUCGCGUGAAGGAUGACGGCCCUACGGGUUGUAAACUUCUUUUGUCAGGGAGCAAUUGAGUCCACGUGUGGGCUUAGCGAGAGUACCUGAAGAAAAAGCAUCGGCUAACUCCGUGCCAGCAGCCGCGGUAAUACGGAGGAUGCGAGCGUUAUCCGGAUUUAUUGGGUUUAAAGGGUGCGUAGGCGGAAUAUCAAGUCAGCGGUAAAAAUUCGGGGCUCAACCCCGUCGUGCCGUUGAAACUGGACGCGUUGAGUUCACAACAGGCAGGCGGAAUUCGUGGUGUAGCAGUGAAAUGCAUAGAUAUCACGAGGAACCCCGAUUGCGAAGGCAGCCUGCCGGGGUGCGACUGACGCUGAGGCUCGAAGGUGCGGGUAUCAAACAGGAUUAGAUACCCGAGUAGUC